rnacentral:rRNA from 1 species
AACGAACGCUGGCGGCAUGCCUAACACAUGCAAGUCGAACGAGACCCUCGGGUCUAGUGGCGCACGGGUGCGUAACGCGUGGGAAUCUGCCCUGGGGUGCGGAAUAACUCGGAGGAAUCCGUGCUAAUACCGCAUAAUGUCUUCGGACCAAAGAUUUAUCGCCCUGGGAUGAGCCCGCGUAGGAUUAGCUAGUUGGUGGGUAAAGGCCUACCAAGGCGACGAUCCUUAGCUGGUCUGAGAGGAUGAUCAGCCACACUGGGACUGAGACACGGCCCAGACUCCUACGGGAGGCAGCAGUGGGGAAUAUUGGACAAUGGGCGAAAGCCUGAUCCAGCAAUGCCGCGUGAGUGAUGAAGGCCCUAGGGUUGUAAAGCUCUUUUACCCGGGAUGAUAAUGACAGUACCGGAGAAUAAGCUCCGGCUAACUCCGUGCCAGCAGCCGCGGUAAU